rnacentral:sRNA from 2 species
CACGUAAAAUGCCGCGCAUACGACUCGUGGAAGCUGGUGAAACUCCAGCGCGGUCGCGCCACUGUGACCGGUUCAGCCUGAACCGGAAGUCAGACCUCGGCGUCGUAUCCCUCUUCCGACUUUGGGGCGCGUAAUCCCCAGGAGCUAUC